GACGAACGCUGGCGGCGUGCCUAAUACAUGCAAGUCGAACGAAGCUGUUUUAACUGGUGCUUGCACCGACUUAAACAACUGAGUGGCGAACGGGUGAGUAACACGUGGGUAACCUGCCCCAAAGCGGGGGAUAACAUUUGGAAACAGAUGCUAAUACCGCAUAAUCACAGAAACCACAUGGUUUCUGUGUCAAAGAUGGUUUCGGCUAUCACUUUGGGAUGGACCCGCGGCGUAUUAGCUAGUUGGUAAGGUAAUGGCCUACCAAGGCAAUGAUACGUAGCCGAACUGAGAGGUUGAUCGGCCACAUUGGGACUGAGACACGGCCCAAACUCCUACGGGAGGCAGCAGUAGGGAAUCUUCCACAAUGGACGAAAGUCUGAUGGAGCAACGCCGCGUGAGUGAAGAAGGUUUUCGGAUCGUAAAACUCUGUUGUCAGAGAAGAACGUGUGCGAGAGUAACUGUUCGUGCAGUGACGGUAUCUGGCCAGAAAGCCACGGCUAACUACGUGCCAGCAGCCGCCAUAA
rnacentral:rRNA from 1 species